CACGUAGGGUGCGAGCGUUGUCCGGAAUUAUUGGGCGUAAAGAGCUCGUAGGCGGUGUGUCGCGUCGGCCGUGAAAACCUGCAGCUUAACUGUGGGCUUGCGGUCGAUACGGGCAUCACUGGAGUUCGGCAGGGGAGACUGGAAUUCCUGGUGUAGCGGUGAAAUGCGCAGAUAUCAGGAGGAACACCGGUGGCGAAGGCGGAUCUCUGGGCCUUACCUGACGCUGAGGCGCGAAAGCGUGGGGAGCGAACAGG
rnacentral:rRNA from 1 species